rnacentral:rRNA from 1 species
UAUCUUGACACUGGAGCAAGCAACCACAUGACAGGCUGUCUGGACAAGUUCGCCGAGCUGGACCGAAAGAUCACCGGUUCAGUUCGAUUCGGAGAUGGAUCAGUUGUGGGCAUUGAGGGACGCGGCUCAGUUCUCUUUGUUGCACACAACGGCGAGCACCGGCUGUUAACUGAAGUUUAUUUCAUCCCGAAGCUGAAAAGUAAUAUAAUCAGUCUAGGGCAGCUGGAUGAAUUUGGUUGCAAGUACUCCGUCGAUGAAGGUUUGAUGACUGUGUUGGAUAAAGAGAGAAAGGUCCUUGCAAAAGUUAGAAGAACACCAAACAGGCUCUACAUACUGAAUAUUGAGCAGUCUGACCCAGUUUGUCUAUUGUCCAAGACUUCAGAGGUUCCCUGGUUGUGGCAUGCACGCUAUGGGCAUAUAAGCUUUCAUGCUUUGAGACUGCUAGCAAAGGAGGCCAUGGUGCGUGGCUUACCAAUGAUUGAUCAGAUUGAUCGUUUGUGUGAGAGCUGCUUGGUUGGCAAACAAAGAAGAGCUCCAUUCCCUGCUGAA